rnacentral:lncRNA from 1 species
ACUCGAGUGGACGCGCGGCCUGGAUCCCGCCUUUCUUGCAGCCUCGUGGGACCGCCCCCGCGCUCCCGCGCUCCCUGGAAGCUCCGAGGGCUUCGGGUCUGCGGUAGUCUUCUCUGGUGCUGAGGAUCUGCUGAGGCUCCACUCGAGGCCACCUCCUGGAACGCCUGGUCUUAGUCCUAGAGGACGCUGCGCGCGGCCUCCUCCUUCCCUCCGCCCGGCCGCCCUUCCGCCGUAACCCGACUCGCGUUACUGCGAAGUGUGCCCGGCCCGCCCAGCAUCUCCGCCCCGCGGGCCAGGGCUGGGUUGGCGUUCUGAAGCUUGGCGCAGUCAGUGGCAGAGGUGCGAAAUCUACGUGUCUCCAAUCCCAUUUUCAUAUGGCUUCCUGCAAAUCUCUUUCUCCACUCCCAGGGCUGUAAAUCUUUCAGCCUGGGUCUGGGUCAAUCUCUCAUUAUGUAUGACCUCUCGCUUUGGAGAGUCACAGCAAUUCAAACAAGUACAGAGCCUGGGUCCCCCUGCCUCCAAACCGGUUUUCUAUAAAAGACUUUGAACC